GGGAUAACUGCCGGAAACGGCAGCUAAUACCGGAUACUAUCCCCCUUCCGCAUGGGAGGAGGAUGAAAGCUUUCGCGGUGCGAGAUGGGGUCGCGGCCCAUCAGGUAGUAGGUGGAGCAGCAGCCCACCUAGCCUACGACGGGUUGCCGGACUGAGAGGUCGAUCGGCCACAUUGGGACUGAGAUACGGCCCAGACUCCUACGGGAGGCAGCAGUGGGGAAUAUUGCGCAAUGGGGGAAACCCUGACGCAGCAACGCCGCGUGCGGGAUGAAGGCCUUCGGGUUGUAAACCGCUUUCAGCAGGGAAGAGACAGACGGUACCUGCAGAAGAAGCCCCGGCUAACUACGUGCCAGCAGCCGCGGUAAUACGUAGGGGGCGAGCGUUAUCCGGAUUCAUUGGGCGUAAAGCGCGCGCAGGCGGACCGUUAAGCGGGACCUCUAAUCCUGGGGCUCAACCUCAGGCCGGGUCCCGAACCGGCGGUCUCGAGUGCGGUAGGGGAGGUCGGAAUUCCCGGUGUAGCGGUGGAAUGCGCAGAUAUCGGGAAGAACACCGAUGGCGAAGGCAGACCUCUGGGCCGACACUGACGCUGAGGCGCGAAAGCUAGGGGAGCGAACAGGAUUAGAUACCCUGGUAGUCCUAGCCGUAAACGAUGGACGCUAGGUGUGGGG
rnacentral:rRNA from 1 species